ACCCCGCACUGUGCCCACCCUGCCCUUCCCAGCCCACCUGUCCCUCCAGCUCCACUUGGGGGUGGUGGGCUCAGGCUGUCUUCCCGCACCAUGGGCCAGCUGCAGCCCCGGGUGGCGCAGGCGGCCAGCCUGGAGUUUCCCUUGCCAGGCACAGAGCAGAGCCAGCCCGUAGCCUUCCCACCCAGCACCGAGCCUGCCUUCAUCACCGUGCCCCAGAGGGGCCUUGGGGAGCCCUUUGUGCUGAACCCUGGCACCUGGGCCCUGCUCGUGGAGGCCGAAGGGGUGCUCCUGGACUAUGUGGUCCUGCUGCCCAGCGCCUACUAUGAGGCAGCCCUCCUGCAGCUUCGAGUGACCGAGGCCUGCACCUACCGCCCCCCCGCCCGGCGCUCCGGGGAGAAGUGAGGGGCCACCCCGUGGGACUGGGGCAGGGCUGCCUGGACGUCCUUUCCGCACCCGCACCGGCCCCGUGCCCAGGCAGCCUGGGGGGUGGCUCCUGGGUGGACCAGUGCUGACCUCAGGCUCUGUCCCUUCAGCUGCCUUCUCUAUGCACACCUCCCCCUGGACGGCUUCCCCUCGGCUGCUGGGCCUGAGGCCCUGUGUGGCAGUGACAACAGCCUGCCCCGGCCCUGCCCCCUGGAGCAGCUCAGCCCUUCACACCCACCGCUGGCCGCCUGCCUGGGCAGUGACGUGCGUGUCUGAGGCCCACGGGGGCGGGGGGCGGUGUGACCUCGGACUGGGUGAGGGUCCUAGUCCCACAGCAGGGCAGGUGCAGGGCAGAGAGGGUGGCCUGGUGCUGUCGCCAGUCUGACCUCAUCUUAGA
rnacentral:lncRNA from 1 species